CCCGGAAGAAGAUUUGAACCACAUUGUUUUGUUUUUCUCAGCGCGGGCAAGCCAACAUUUGGCUUUUAAUCACCUAACUAAUUAUUCUUCAACCAUUGGGAAGUAAUUUGCUAAUUGUAAGUGCAAGAAAGAUUGUCCAUCCUGCAUCGAAGUCAAAUAUAAAAAAAAAAAUGUAACGUUCGGUGGCUAAAUAUUUGUUCUAGCCUUCCUCACUAGGGGGCCACAAGGGGGUCCAAAAUUGUUGUCACAGGGGCACUGCCCCUGGGAGAUGAUUGUGUGAAGAAUGGUCUCAACUUCAUGUAUGAAGUUCCAUCUGGGGCAGACAAAGGUAACUACAUCCAUGUUGGUUCUGCAUCUUUACCACUCCUUCCACCCACACUCUGCAGUCUACUGAGAAGAGGAGACCAAGGAGGAAGGAGAAUCAGAAUACAAGUUUGAGUGGCAAAAGACGUCCCCUCGAGAAGUAUGCCAAGGAUGACAUGGCUAUUAGGGAUCAACCAUAUGGAAUUCAGGUGCGCAAUGUGAGAUGCAUCAUGUGUCACAAAUAGGGCCAUGUGAAUACAGACAGUGCCCUCUCUUCGGCCUGUCUGGGAUCAAUGCCAGCGCUGCGCCCACAGAGGAAGCGGGUACAAAUAACAAUCUGACCUACCUGGAUGAAUAGAGGAAACAAGUUGACUGGUCCGUCGAUGCACCCCUCCGAGUUAAUGGCAGAGAUGCGAAACAGUGGGUUUGCCCUGAAGAAAUAUGUCCUUGGAAGAAAUUCUACUGUUUGUGAUCCAUCGCAGGAAUUGUUUUUAUGCUAUAGGAGUAUGUUGUCGAUGAAGAAGAGGAGGAUCCUGAGGUUGAAUUCCUGAAGUCGUUGACCACUAAACAGGAAGAGAAGCUCCUCAGGAAACUUGAUCGUCUACAAAAGAAGACGAGUGAAGGAAUCAGAAGAAGAACCGUGAUAGUAGUGACAGCUCUAGUGGAAGUAGCAGCGGUGACUCAGGCUGACAGCUCUAGUGGAAGUAGCAGCAGUGACUCAGGCUGACAGCUCUAGUGGAAGUAGCAGCAGUGACUCAGGCUGACAGCUCUAGUGGAAGUAGCAGCAGUGACUCAGGCUGACAGCUCUAGUGGAAGUAGCAGCAGUGACUCAGGCUGACAGCUCUAGUGGAAGUAGCAGCAGUGACUCAGGCUGACAGCUCUAGUGGAAGUAGCAGCGGUGACUCAGGCUGACAGCUCUAGUGGAAGUAGCAGCAGUGACUCAGGCUGACAGCUCUAGUGGAAGUAGCAGCAGUGACUCAGGCUGACAGCUCUAGUGGAAGUAGCAUCGGUGACUCAGGCUGACAGCUCUAGUGGAAGUAGCAGCAGUGACUCAGGCUGACAGCUCUAGUGGAAGUAGCAUCGGUGACUCAGGCUGACAGCUCUAGUGGAAGUAGCAGCAGUGACUCAGGCUGACAGCUCUAGUGGAAGUAGCAGCAGUGACUCAGGCUGACAGCUCUAGUGGAAGUAGCAGCAGUGACUCAGGCUAACAGCUCUAGUGGAAGUAGCAGCAGUGACUCAGGCUGACAGCUCUAGUGGAAGUAGCAUCGGUGACUCAGGCUGACAGCUCUAGUGGAAGUAGCAGCAGUGACUCAGGCUGACAGCUCUAGUGGAAGUAGCAUCGGUGACUCAGGCUGACAGCUCUAGUGGAAGUAGCAGCGGUGACUCAGGCUGACAGCUCUAGUGGAAGUAGCAGCGGUGACUCAGGCUGACAGCUCUAGUGGAAGUAGCAUCGGUGACUCAGGCUGACAGCUCUAGUGGAAGUAGCAGCGGUGACUCAGGCUGACAGCUCUAGUGGAAGUAGCAUCGGUGACUCAGGCUGACAGCUCUAGUGGAAGUAGCAGCAGUGACUCGGGCUGACAGCUCUAGUGGAAGUAGCAGCAGUGACUCGGGCUGACAGCUCUAGUGGAAGUAGCAGCAGUGACUCGGGCUGACAGCUCUAGUGGAAGUAGCAGCAGUGACUCAGGCUGACAGCUCUAGUGGAAGUAGCAGCAGUGACUCAGGCUGACAGCUCUAGUGGAAGUAGCAGCAGUGACUCAGGCUGACAGCUCUAGUGGAAGUAG